UUUCAUCUUCUUCAUUAAAUUCCACCUGAGAUGCUAUUUCUCUUUCUGAAUCUAUAUAGCUCAUUUCGCUAACUCAACCCAACUUUUUAUAGAGAAGAUCGAUCCUAAAACUUUAAAUAUGAAGAAGUCAACCUCCAAACUGAAAACUCAAUUAACUUCCUGGAAAAGAAUGCCCAACAACCUGUUUUGGAAGAGCAGAAAUUAUUUGAUAUUAAAUCACACAAUUGGAAUAGAAAUCUCCAAAGUGGUCCAAUCAAUAUCAGCCACAUACCCACCUACGAAGUACCCAAAAAAUGAACUUCAAAAUUCCAAAUUUAAUGCAUAAUCCAAAUCAAAUCCCUAACUGAAACCUUCAGUACGUCUUUUUCCUUGCAGUGUUGUUUAGCUUUAGCCCACCCAAAAUUCAACUUGAAAUAAAAGCUUUGUUUAAAUUUCUUCUCAUACUGGAAUAGAUUGUACCGAAAGAAAACAAAAAGGGUCUAAAACCAACUGCUUAUUAUCUCUAUAAAGCCUGGAUUUCUCUAUCUACAGACUUUGACUGCAGAGAUUUGAGAAAAGGGGUGGAAAGACGUCGCAGUCUUCCGUUGAUUUUUUUUUUUCAUCAUAGAAAAUGGUCAAAAACUUGAUGGGUCACUUGACCCACCAAGCCCCGCCACUGUUCUGCCAUGUGUAAUACCUUCCUGAUUUCUGUUAAACUGUACUAGGGGUUGAUCGAAAUGCUUAAUGAAUAUCUGCUACAGUGUCUCAGAAAUCUCUAUUGAGGAGUAUGGCCUCUAGCUUGAGGGAUUCAGUUUCCUACGCUCUGCUCGAUGCUGCUAAGCAACAACAAUUUCUAAAUGCCUUUGAUAACACGGGAUUCAAGUCAUCAGAUAAACUCAUACUGGCAUACAAACCUAAGAGAGGAACUUAUGCUGUAUUUCAGGGUGAAGUAACUGAAGAGGAAACAGAGAGAUUUGUAAGUUCAGUACUGAAUGGAGAUGUACAGUUUACCAAAACAAAACAGAAGCCUAGUGUAAAAUAACAGCUGACCACAUUUGCUUUCGAAUAUAUAGAAUCAUAGUUUCUCCU